GACGAACGCUGGCGGCGUGCCUAAUACAUGCAAGUAGAACGCACAGUUUAUACCGUAGCUUGCUACACCAUAGACUGUGAGUUGCGAACGGGUGAGUAACGCGUAGGUAACCUGCCUGGUAGCGGGGGAUAACUAUUGGAAACGAUAGCUAAUACCGCAUAAUAUUAAUUAUUGCAUGAUAAUUAAUUGAAAGGUGCAAUUGCACCACUACCAGAUGGACCUGCGUUGUAUUAGCUAGUAGGUGAGGUAACGGCUCACCUAGGCGACGAUACAUAGCCGACCUGAGAGGGUGAUCGGCCACACUGGGACUGAGACACGGCCCAGACACCUACGGGAGGCAGCAGUAGGGAAUCUUCGGCAAUGGACGAAAGUCUGACCGAGCAACGCCGCGUGAGUGAAGAAGGUUUUCGGAUCGUAAAGCUCUGUUGUAAGAGAAGAACGGGUGUGAGAGUGGAAAGUUCACACUGUGACGGUAUCUUACCAGAAAGGGACGGCUAACUACGUG
rnacentral:rRNA from 1 species